rnacentral:rRNA from 1 species
CCUACGGGUGGCAGCAGUGAGGAAUAUUGGUCAAUGGGCGUAAGCCUGAACCAGCCAAGUCGCGUGAGGGAUGAAGGUUCUAUGGAUCGUAAACCUCUUUUAUAAGGGAAUAAAGAGCGGGACGUGUCCCGUUUUGUAUGUACCUUAUGAAUAAGGAUCGGCUAACUCCGUGCCAGCAGCCGCGGUAAUACGGAGGAUCCGAGCGUUAUCCGGAUUUAUUGGGUUUAAAGGGUGCGUAGGCGGCCUUUUAAGUCAGCGGUGAAAGGCUGUGGCUCAACCAUAGAAUUGCCGUUGAAACUGGGAGGAGUGAGUAUGUGUGAGGCAGGCGGAAUGCGUGGUGUAGCGGUGAAAUGCUUAGAUAUCACGCAGAACCCCGAUUGCGAAGGCAGCCGGCCAAGCCAUGACUGACGCUGAUGCACGAAAGCGUGGGGAUCAAACAGGAUUAGAUACCCCUGUAGUC